GACAACAGAGCCAGCAGACGUGAGGCGCGAUAAUGGCAUAGAAUGGUAAACACGUUUUCCUUUGGCUGCCUGAUACUUUCUUAAUCAAAUCUAAUUGCAGUGAGAUAAAUGAUAAACAAGACGUUUGAUUACUCGAUAACCAUCGAUGGAGCGUUGGAUCAUCCCAUGAAAGACUUAUCCGCUCGUCACCACUAGAGUACCAAUUAUCCAAGCAUCAAUCCGAGCAUUCAACCUGUUGCAAAGAAAUGGAUAAUCUUUUUAUCCCAUCCGAAUUGCGGAUUACCUCUACUUACAGCAAAAUGAGGAAGAUAAGAACGUCUCGCCUUUGAUGGAUUGAGUGCAAACUCGAUGGCAGCCAAAGGGGAGGCCCAUUCCUGCUCGGUGGGAGAAGCCACCCCAGUGAAAACUACUCGUCCUCCUCGACGAUUCUGGUACUUGAUGAGCUUCCGAACAUGGCCACUUUCUUCUUCAGCUGACUCUUGAAAGUAUUUGGAGAAGCCGUUCAUGGCUACAUCAUCGCGAUCGUAAAAGGCGCUCUAAAUUCAAACGUUGGAAAAGGGAAAACCCUGUGACAGUAGAUCCGGGAAGAGGAGUUCCUCCGCUUGCCUUAUUACUUCAUGGGAAAAUCCUUUGCAGAUUUUGUGCAGUUCUAUACUCCAGCCGCGUGACUAUUCGUCAUUUUAUUUUUCCAACUGACUGGCAGUGCUUUCCCCCGAGAGAACACAUGUCUGUCCUACCUCAUAAUAGUAGGUUUUCAGGUGAGAUUCCUUAUUUGACUUCCUGGACAUGUCUUGUCGCUUAAAAUGGAUGGAGUUUCUCCUAUCCACACCGCUUCCGCCGCUGGAUCACUUGGCGAUCGAAAUUUGUUCGACAGUUGGGAAAUGGACGUUUGAAAGUUCCCGCCAGGAUUAUACUCAAAAGAUUAUGAUGGGUUAUGAAAUGGAUCAUCUCGUCAAACAACCUCCGCCUCCAACCAUGGCAUAACCUAAGCCCAGUCUAAUCCCAUAAUCCUCCGACGCCACAUUUUGAAAGAGAUGGAUAAUCCAUUUGCGGAUGUGGCGGCAGGAAGUGUUUGACAGGAUUUCUUCAGCUACUCCGACCAAUGAGGAAGAAGGUCACUUUCACGAAACUAAAACGGUUGGAAAAAACUGAAACCCAAACAUCCACACCCACACAACAACAACAACUACUACUACUACUCCGUUCUCUGUCGUCUGGACAUCUCGCUACUUCCCAAAAGAUUACUAUCCAGUGGGUCCCGCUUUGAAAUCAUCUUCCGGAUCGGGUCGUCAGUGCCACUUUUACGACGAAAUCCAGCUGGCGCUACUGGAUGCGGAGUUUAUCAAUGAUUCGUUUCCUAAUCGAGAAAGUCGUCGUCGCAUCGCCCAGUUGAUUGGCGUCUCUGAAAUUCAAUUAUGUGGUGGUUUCAGAAUCGCCGUCGACGUGCUCGUCAAAUUGGAUCAAGAGCCGCAACUUCAACUUUAGAAACAAAUCGCCAACAUUCUCGAUCAUCGCCUUACGCCUUUCGUCAACGCCAACACUGUGUGACGGUUGCCCUUGGCAACACUGGAUCAGACGCUAGCGAUCGGCCUUUUUGUGACGGACGAUAGAUAUUUGCUGGAGCAGUUGAAAACCGAGUGCGAAAAUUUUAUGGUUCGUCGAAUGUCUGCUGCAAAUUGUGUCGAAUUGUUUUUACUCCCUGAUAACCAUCCGGUUGAGCAUUUGAAAACGUUGGCGGUCCAUCAUUUCCGGCGUUUCUCGGCCCAAGUCUUGGCAACUGAUGACUGGAUAUAGCAGCGUAACAAAUCAAUU
rnacentral:lncRNA from 1 species